GGCCAGACUCCUACGGGAGGCAGCAGUGGGGGAUAUUGCACAAUGGGGGGAACCCUGAUGCAGCGACGCCGCGUGGGUGAAGAAGCGCCUCGGCGCGUAAAGCCCCGUCAGCAGGGAAGAAAAUGACGGUACCUGAAGAAGAAGCCCCGGCUAACUACGUGCCAGCAGCCGCGGUAAUACGUAGGGGGCAAGCGUUAUCCGGAUUUACUGGGUGUAAAGGGGGCGCAGACGGCGAUGCAAGCCAGGAGUGAAAGCCCGGGGCCCAACCCCGGGACUGCUCUUGGAACUGCGUGGCUGGAGUGCAGGAGGGGCAGGCGGAAUUCCUGGUGUAGCGGUGAAAUGCGUAGAUAUCAGGAGGAACACCGGUGGCGAAGGCGGCCUGCUGGACUGCAACUGGCGUUGAGGCCCGAAAGCGUGGGGAGCAAACAGGAUUAGAUACCCCCGUAC
rnacentral:rRNA from 1 species